CAGGUGUGUUCUUGAAAUCGGUAGCUCCUUCAUUGUAAGUGGAAACGGCAACCCCACAAGCAACUAACUGCCAAGAACAAAGAUAGAUCGAAUGUUAACAUAAAAUGAAAACAUUCCUUAUGCGGUAAUUCUAGUUGGACAGCUAAGAAAGGCUUUAGGAUGGUAGCAUGCAUUUUCUUCACCAUUAUCACACCAAGAGACAACACACUAUUGAUAAAAGGUAAAGUUCUAUCCUUAAUUAAGACAUAUAUAGAUUGUAUUUGCAUCAAAAUUUCUUGAAACAUCAUCAGUUGAUUUGACAUACAGAAAAUCUUAUACUUAAAAAACCAGGAAAAACUAUAGCAGCCAUAGCAUGUCAGCAAAUCUUGCAAUGAUAAUCUACCAAGAUUUCUCUCUUAAAAAUAAAAAAAUUAGUACUUAUCCUUCUGCAAAAUCUAACCCUUGUGAGUAAUUCUUAUUCAAAAGCUAAGCAUUCAAAUAUCACAAAAUUUGCCUAUAAGAACACUUGAAUAACAAACUAAUUCAAAAUAAACAAAGCUUUAUUAAACACACAAAUAACUCAUCUAAAUGCAGAGUAGGAAAGAAAAGAAAAAACACUUACCGAAAAAACUAUGCCGAAAGCCCACAAGUACUCGACCAAGAACCCAAGCCAAUCCCACUGUUCACCUUCCCAAAAGUCCUUUUCCUCACCCGGAAGCUUGGGCAAGAAAUAUCCAUCAUCAACGCCAUUAACGGCUGAGCCAGUAGCAGCAGCGUUUUCGAGAAGACCCAUUUGGAGGUCAGCCGUUCGAUUAAUCUCUUCUAGUUCUUGGUCCCUGGUGGUGGUGGUGCUUCUCCUGUUCUUGUUGCCAUCGACCCUUCCGCUUCUGGAGGAAAACUUCUUGGCAGACACUGCCACGUGGAGGUUUCUGGACGAGUGAGGGAAGAUAAGGUGGCGGCGAAUAGGGAAGUGGGUGUAGUUGGGAUUUUUGGUGGGAUUGCCGGAGAAGAUGAUUGAAGCUCCACUAGUACCACCUCCACCGUUGGGUAUGGUUAGAGCCAUGAGUGGAUGA